CCUACGGUGGCUGCAGUGGGGAAUAUUGGACAAUGGGCGAAAGCCUGAUCCAGCCAUGCCGCGUGUGUGAAGAAGGCCUUCGGGUUGUAAAGCACUUUCAGUGGGGAAGAAAGCCUUGGGGCUAAUACCCUCGAGGAAGGACAUCACCCACAGAAGAAGCACCGGCUAACUCCGUGCCAGCAGCCGCGGUAAUACGGAGGGUGCGAGCGUUAAUCGGAAUUACUGGGCGUAAAGCGCGCGUAGGCGGUCUGAUAAGCCGGUUGUGAAAGCCCCGGGCUCAACCUGGGAACAGCAUCCGGAACUGUCAGGCUAGAGUGCAGGAGAGGAAGGUAGAAUUCCCGGUGUAGCGGUGAAAUGCGUAGAGAUCGGGAGGAAUACCAGUGGCGAAGGCGGUCUUCUGGACUGACACUGACGCUGAGGUGCGAAAGCGUGGGUAGCAAACAGGAUUAGAUACCCCUGUAGUC
rnacentral:rRNA from 1 species